AUUGAACGCUGGCGGCAUGCCUUACACAUGCAAGUCGAACGGUAACAGGUCUUCGGAUGCUGACGAGUGGCGAACGGGUGAGUAAUACAUCGGAACGUGCCCGAGAGUGGGGGAUAACGAAGCGAAAGCUUUGCUAAUACCGCAUACGAUCUCAGGAUGAAAGCAGGGGACCGCAAGGCCUUGCGCUCACGGAGCGGCCGAUGGCAGAUUAGGUAGUUGGUGGGAUAAAAGCUUACCAAGCCGACGAUCUGUAGCUGGUCUGAGAGGACGACCAGCCACACUGGGACUGAGACACGGCCCAGACUCCUACGGGAGGCAGCAGUGGGGAAUUUUGGACAAUGGGCGCAAGCCUGAUCCAGCCAUGCCGCGUGCAGGAUGAAGGCCUUCGGGUUGUAAACUGCUUUUGUACGGAACGAAAAGACUCUGGUUAAUACCUGGGGUCCAUGACGGUACCGUAAGAAUAAGCACCGGCUAACUACGUGCCAGCCGCCGCGGUAAAAC
rnacentral:rRNA from 1 species